GGAGGUGUAGCUCAGUGGUAGAGUGGCAGAGUGCUUGCUUAGCGUGCACAAGGCCCUGGGUUCAAUCCCCAGAACCACCA
rnacentral:tRNA from 1 species